GUGCUCGCUUCAGCAGCACAUAUACUAAAAUUGGAACGAUAUAGAGAAGAUUAGCAU
ensembl:snRNA U6 U6 spliceosomal RNA